rnacentral:misc_RNA from 1 species
UCUCCGUAGGUGAACCUGCGGAGGGAUCAUUACCAGUACAACCACGCCUCCGGGCGCGGUCUACUACCAACCCUUUGUCAUCCGACCGCGUUGCCUCCGGGUGCGACCCUGACCUCCGGGUCUCGCGUCUCCCCGGGUGGACAUACCUAAAACUCUGCAUAACUUUGUAGUCUGAGUAAACAUUUUAAUUAAAUUAAAACUUUCAACAACGGAUCUCUUGGUUCUGGCAUCGAUGAAGAACGCAGC